AGUGUAACUCUCUUGAGAUGAAGAGUCCUACGUGAAAUCUUUUUCCCUCAAGGCAAAGCCUCCUGCCUGAAAUCUUUUCAUAAAUUGCCAACUUAAGGCUUUUUUAUGUGAUCCAAAAAUUUCUUAUGUAGCAAUAUUUACCUAUAAAUCCUAAAAGCCUCUACUGUUACCUCUUAUUUGUCAAGGAUUUUUUAGACUGUAAUCUGUUGCUCAAUUUUGUAGUGCUGAUUUUUCCUUUGUGAUGUAGAGAACUCCUGAUAUCAAGUUGUCUACCGUUGCACCUGAGAAUUCUUACCAGAAGCAGUAUCAAGAGGAUAUGCAAGAAGCUGCUGAAAACUUUGUUGAUAAUUCUUCUGUUGGUAUUGGAAGUUCUUCGGCUGAUAUUGAUGAAGAGCAGGAUAAUCUUGACGAACUUGCAAAUGCUUCUGGUACCGAAUUUGAGAUUCCUGCAAGCUUUGAUGAACAGAUUGGAAUUGAUUCACAUAUGGGUGCUGACUGGCCUGGGACAUGACGUACAUGGUUCCAAGUUGACACAGAGCAUGGAGAUUCCACAUAAUAUUACCGUUGGCUUAAAGUUUGUAAAGCAUCUGUCAAUAUAACCAAUACCUCACUUGUGUAUCUUAGGAGUUGGGAGUUAGGACUUGGGAGGUAGGGAUAUUUGUAUAUUAGUAUAUACUUUGGUUGAUACAUGUCAUAGAAUUUCUCGAAUUUAAUUUUUCUUCUGGCUUCUUUC